rnacentral:sRNA from 1 species
GUCAUGGGGCCUUGGAGUCGAGUCAGGGUUGCCAAAUGCCAGAUGCUGGUCACCUGCUUCUUUAUCUUGCUGCUGGGCCUCUCUGUGGCCACCAUGGUGACUCUUACCUACUUCGGGGCCCACUUUGCUGUCAUCCGCCGAGCAUCCCUGGAGAAGAACCCGUACCAGGCUGUGCACCAAUGGGCCUUCUCUGCGGGGUUGAGCCUGGUGGGCCUCCUGACUCUGGGAGCCGUGCUGAGCGCUGUAGCCACCGUGAAGGAGGCCCAGGGCCUCAUGGCGGGGGUGGAGGACGCCAUGCUGGACACCUACGACCUGGUAUAUGAGCAGGCGAUGAAAGGCACGUCCCACGUCCGGCGGCAGGAGCUGGCGGCCAUCCAGGACGUGUUUCUGUGCUGUGGGAAGAGGUCUCCUUUCAGCCGUCUGGGGAGCACAGAGGCUGACCUGUGUCAGGGAGAGGAGGCGGCGAGAGAGUGGGAGGCACCUGGCGACCCUCCAAGAAACAGAGGGGAGGAGAGCAAAUGGCUGGAGGCCUGAUGAGGGGUGGAGCCACAGCCCAGGCUCCGAGGGCAGAAGGGCUGGCGCUGAGGACGGUGCUGGGGAGGGACCAGCGGCAUCGGGGGCAGGGCUAACAGUCAGGACCCCUGUGCCACCCAAGGAGAGACCCCAGGUCCCCCGACUGAAAAGCAGGAGCGAGGUCCUGCCUCGAGCACCCUUGGGAUGGCAGGGCCAUGGGCCUGACUGCAAAGCCUCCUGGGGAGCCAGAAGAGCCAGCACAGGCGGCAGGCACGGAGCCACCCAGAUGGGCCGGCAUGGGCGGGAGGGAGGCAGACCUGCCUGCGGGGGACAGGAGGGUGAGCCCUGAGACCCUGCGGAGGCCUCCACAGG